UCUGCAUAUUUGUAACGCAAAUAACUACUUCCUGAUUUACAUCUCAAUAUAUUCUUCUUUCAUUUGCCCAAUUUAAAAAAUACGUAGUCUCUAUUGUUGCUGUUUACUAAUAGUUUUAGAUCCCAAUGUGUAUUAGAAUUAUAGCUACAAAAAGUUGCAAGUAAAAUUUAGCAAUUUCCUAUUCAAACAGGAUCUCAUUAGUAUGUUUUUUAAUGUGUAGAAUUAACACUUUAAAAUAAACAGGUGUGAAAAUUAUAAAGGAAUAUAUAUGACAAUUAUUUUCUGUACAUUAAUGUCUAAACAUUAUACUUACUUUUUCAUAAUAAAGGAAAUUUUGGAACCAAAUUUGCUG
rnacentral:lncRNA from 1 species